UACGUAGGGUGCGAGCGUUAAUCGGAAUUACUGGGCGUAAAGCGUGCGCAGGCGGUUCGUUGUGUCGGCGGUGAAAGCCCCGGGCUUAACCGGGGAAGGCCGUGGAAACUGGCGGACUGGAGUGUGGCAGAGGGGGGUGGAAUUCCGCGUGUAGCAGUGAAAUGCGUAGAGAUGCGGAGGAACACCGAUGGCGAAGGCAGCCCCCUGGGCUAACACUGACGCUCAGGCACGAAAGCGUGGGGAGCAAACAGG
rnacentral:rRNA from 1 species